rnacentral:misc_RNA from 1 species
UCCGGCUUGUCACCGGCAGUCCCACUAGAGUGCCCAACUGAAUGAUGGCAACUAAUGGCGAGGGUUGCGCUCGUUGCGGGACUUAACCCAACAUCUCACGACACGAGCUGACGACAGCCAUGCAGCACCUGUGUGUCGGCUCCCUUUCGGGCACACCCAGCUCUCACCGGGCUUCCGACCAUGUCAAGGGUAGGUAAGGUUUUUCGCGUUGCAUCGAAUUAAUCCACAUCAUCCACCGCUUGUGCGGGUCCCCGUCAAUUCCUUUGAGUUUUAAUCUUGCGACCGUACUCCCCAGGCGGAUGACUUCACGCGUUAGCUGCGUUACUAAAGGAUUUAACUCCUCCAACAACUAGUCAUCAUCGUUUAGGGCGUGGACUAC